UUGAAAUACCACCCUUUAAUGUUUGAUGUUCUAACGUGGAUCCGUGAUCCGGGUUGCGGACAGUGUCUGGUGGGUAGUUUGACUGGGGCGGUCUCCUCCUAAAGAGUAACGGAGGAGCACGAAGGUUGGCUAAUCCUGGUCGGACAUCAGGAGGUUAGUGCAAUGGCAUAAGCCAGCUUGACUGCGAGCGUGACGGCGCGAGCAGGUGCGAAAGCAGGUCAUAGUGAUCCGGUGGUUCUGAAUGGAAGGGCCAUCGCUCAACGGAUAAAAGGUACUCCGGGGAUAACAGGCUGAUACCGCCCAAGAGUUCAUAUCGACGGCGGUGUUUGGCACCUCGAUGUCGGCUCAUCACAUCCUGGGGCUGAAGUAGGUCCCAAGGGUAUGGCUGUUCGCCAUUUAAAGUGGUACGCGAGCUGGGUUUAGAACGUCGUGAGACAGUUCGGUCCCUAUCUGCCGUGGGCGCUGGAGAACUGAGGGGGGCUGCUCCUAGUACGAGAGGACCGGAGUGGACGCAUCACUGGUGUUCGGGUUGUCAUGCCAAUGGCACUGCCCGGUAGCUAAAUGCGGAAGAGAUAAGUGCUGAAAGCAUCUAAGCACGAAACUUGCCCCGA
rnacentral:rRNA from 1 species